CACUCUCCUCCCCCUGCUGCCCACUCUUCUCUUCGCCGCCCCCUCCCGUGAAAACCCUAGCCGCCGCCGCCGCCGCCGCCCGCCGCCGUCGCGGAUGUCUCUCCCACCCCCCUCGUCAUCCCCACCGACAUGUCGGAGUUCGUGGCCGGCCGUCGCACGACGUCAGGCUGUGGCGCGGUUGGUCGAGGCGGAGAUGCCAUCGCGCGGGGUCGUCGUCGAGCGGGCCGUGAGGAGAGGGAGUAGAGGGAGGGAAGAGUGGGAGGCGCGAGGAUGGAGUUGGGACUCGCCAGCCAUGCGGUGCUAGCGGUGGAGGACUCCAGAUCCCUUGUCUCCCCGGGUGCCUUGCUCGUCAUCGACCUCCCCGGGUGCUUCUCUCCCCAAAUGGUGCCUACAUGCCCAAGCGUCGGCGAAGAAGAUGAGAGGGAGAGAGAGAAGGAAGGAGAGGAGGGAGAAAGAGAGGAAAGAGGAGAGGGAGGUGCUCCGGAAAGAGGAGAGGGAGGUGCUCCGGUCCCUCGAGGCGCCGCCCCCAGGAGCUCUCAACGCCUCCCGAGGACCUCCUUUCCUUCAGUGCCCCGAGUAAUGCUUGAUCUCAUAUGUCCAUGCAGAUGCUGAGCAGAGGGCCAAACCUCAAGUGUGGAUAUGGUUGCCAUUUAUCAGCGAUGAUAAUGUAUUUGUUUCCAGGGAUGCAGCAACAAGCACAAAUAACUUUGCUCGCAUGCUUUCAUCUUUUUGUUAUUCUCUGUACAUUUGUUCCAGAAAAAAAAUCCCUCUAUACACGGCUUAAGGUGGAGGCUCACACGCUCAGUGCAGGUUGUCAAAGCCCUCUUUUAUUGUUGUGCUAUUGGUCAGCUUGCAGGGUGCAGCAGCCUGGAGAGAUGGUCGAUGGCACACCUGUGAAGCAGCACCUAUGAAGCAACAAUAAACACGUCUGAUGCCAACAUGCCAAGAUGAGCUUCUCGCCCAAUCCCUCUUUCUGUAUAUAUGCAAGCUUGUGUGAUGUUCUCUUUCUGUAUAUAUGCAAGCUUGUGUGAUGUGCUCUGCUUCCCCUUACUUUUCCAGUUAAUGGAUCUCUCACUGAACAGAGCAUGUUCUUUAGGUUGACGGCAUAAAUAAUAUAGCUAAAUUAUCUUCAUCAUAAUAAUAUAAUUGUUGGCACUGUCAAUGAUCCAUUAGACAACCCUAUGGAAUAUUUCUAUAUUUUUGUGCACCAAGGGAUUUUCAGGGAUUUCAAGGAAUAUAAUGAUUUGUUGUUGUUUUCUUAGUUAGCGGCUUUAGUUCUUGAUUAUCUUUUUCCGAACCCUGUUAAGAUGGAAAUAUACGUUGAUGCUGCCACUGGCUCAUACCGUUGCUUCCUAAGUCAUCCAAGGUGAUAACUGAAUUCUUCUAUACCACAUAGCAGAUUCAGGAGUCCUCCUCUCCCCCUCUCACUCAUCUCUUUUGAUUUAGCCUCCUCAAAUCCUUCUCUUGCUAUGUGAAAUUCUCUUUUAUCCAUGCCUACAUGGCGUUUGACAGAACUCCUAUCAGGAUUUUGAUAGUAGAAUGUGGUAUCGGGCUGGUGUUGCGGUUCAUCCAGCUUCAAGGGAAAAUAUCGUGCAUAAAUGUGUACUAUUCAUUAUUCAGGUCAAAUGAGUGAUACUAUCAUUUUUGUAUCGGCUUCCAGCGAGGAUGAUUUUUAUGUGCACGGUCACGAUGUCGACUCAUGUCUAAUCCUGAAGGAAUUUGCAGCAUGUCUGACCCAUUUUUGCAGCAGUGUUAAGCCAUUGAUGCGUGCUUUAAUUGUCAACUUCAUUUUUGGAAGUGCAUACUCCAUUGAGGAAUGUAGCAUUUACAAUGAUAUAAAUUGGAAAGCAAAUUCCAUGAUUCUGUUAAGUGUCAACUUAUCAGCAUUUCCAUCUCAUUUUUAAGCUCCAUUGUUCUUGUGGAAAGGAUACACACUUCUCCCCGCAUCAUGUAUCAUGUUUGUCAAGGUUAUAUUGUUCCAGUUUGCUUUGUUUGCACAUAUGGAGGUACUCAACACAGUACACAACUCUGUAGCAUGCAGAUGCUUUCUUAUUUGGCCUCCUUGGUUAGUGCUUGAUGAUUCAUUUGACAGCAGACCCCACCCACCAGGAAGCAACCACAAGCGGCUCGGCUACUCCGGCAUCAUGGGCACCACUUUCCCCCGAAGACCACAUGCCCGGCGACGAAUCUGGCAAGCAUGGGUGCGCACCUCCAGCAACUAGAAUUGAGUGCGUAGGAAACUUAUGGCUUAUGGCUCUCCUUGAUGACCAUCACCUCAUAACCACAACCAUCUACAUGAUACCUACCGGCUAUAUACUAUGCUCAUUGUAAAUAAUCUAUUAUCAAUUUACAACAGUAUAUAGCAACACUGUAUUUCUACUUAUGCUCAUUGUAAACUUCUUAGAACGCUGUGUAUCAACACUGAGUUCUCUUAUAACACUAUGUCAGCACUAAAAUUAUAUUUACUUA